UACGUAGGCAGCGAGCGUUGUUCGGAGUUACUGGGCGUAAAGGGUGUGUAGGCGGUUGUUUAAGUUUGGUGUGAAAUCUCCCGGCUCAACUGGGAGGGUGCGCCGAAUACUGAAUGACUUGGAGUGCUCGAGGGUGGGAGAGGUAAGCGGAAUUCCUGGUGUAGCGGUGAAAUGCGUAGAUAUCAGGAGGAACACCUGUGGUGUAGACAGCUUACUGGACCACUUCUGACGCUGAGACACGAAAGCGUGGGUAGCAAACAGG
rnacentral:rRNA from 1 species